rnacentral:RNase_P_RNA from 1 species
UGAGUCGGCCGGGCGGCCGCGGCACGGGCACCGCCCGCGUCGAGGAAAGUCCGGACUCCACAGGGCAGGGUGGUUGCUAACGGCAACCCGGGGAAACCCGCGGGACAGUGCCACAGAGAACAGACCGCCCGGACGGUUCGCCGACCGGGUAAGGGUGAAACGGUGGUGUAAGAGACCACCAGCGCCCCGGGUGACCGGGGCGGCUAGGUAAACCCCACCCGGAGCAAGGCCAAGAGGACGCCGAUCAGCGUCUGCGCAGGUGUUCGAGGGCUGCCCGCCCGAGCCUGCGGGUAGGCCGCUGGAGCCUGCCGGUGACGGCAGGCCGAGAUGGAUGGUCGCCGAACGGGACGUCGCGAGACGCCCGCGAACAGGAUCCGGCUUACAGGCCGACUCCUCCA